rnacentral:lncRNA from 1 species
GGGUAUAAAAUUCUAUUACAAGAAACACUCUCGACUACUCUCAACAACGAACAUGUUUACAAAACUUUUUACAAAAAAUUAUGGCUCUUGGAUCUACCGUCUAAAAUAAAAUUCAUGAACUGGAUAAUUGUUAACAACUAUCUGCCUACUCAAUAUAACUUGUACCAAAGGAGGCUAGUGGGGUUUGCAAAUUGUCCUAAAUGUAUAGGCGAAGUGGAAAAUGCUAAACAUGCUUUCCAGGACCGUAUAACAGCAAAGGAAACCUGGAGAAAGUUAGGUAUUACUUGGCCAUGGGAACUAAAUGAAGGGCAGUUUAGAGACUGGAUGUUAUACCUUUACAAUAAUGCUUCAAUACAACAAUGUCGAAAAAUAGCUUGCUCAUUCUAGCCUUUGUAGACAGCAAGAAACAAAUAACUGUAUGAGGGGAUUCUUCAAAACGAAUCAAAAAUUGAUUGCUUUAUCACAAAUUAUGUACAAGAAUUAGAGGAACUUAAUAACAGGUUACCUAGACGAAGAAUAGAGGGAGAACGUCGGAGACCGUCGGAGGAGUCAUUUGUAAAUAUAAACUUCAAUGUUGCAUUUCGCAAACAAAGUAUAAGUUCAUGCUCGGGGAUAGUGGUCAGAGAUUCAAGUGGGAGGGUUCUAAAUUUUACCAUGCGCCUAAAUGAGCACAUACCAAUUGGGUUUGCAGCAGAGGCGAUUACUUGUGUCCAGGCGGUUCAAUUAGGGUGGAUCUAGGAGUGGUGAGGGCUGAAAUUGUAGGUGAUGCAUUAUCAGGCAUAAAGAAGGUGAAAUCAAGAAAUAUAGAUAAAUCAUAAAUCAAUGCCUAUGUAUUAAGUGCACAAGUGCUCAGUUUUGGCUACGAAACAUGCCUGUUUAGACAUACCUCUGUUGGGAAGAAACCGAACAACCGAAACAAAGCGAAAGCACAACCGGUGUUCUUUCUCUCCUUAUAACUCAAAGUCAAGAACACCUUAUCACCUAGCUACUGUCCAAAAAUCAGCUCAAUCGAACCACGGAUGGACCUUCGAUCGAAGAGUUGAUCACUGCUGCACCAAGCUUGAAAAUCUGAUUUUUUCUAUUCUCUUUCUCUCUAUUUUUUCUUUAGCUCUCUGCAGAAAAAUUUCUGCCCAACACCCGUUAAUAAGCCAAAAAAUUGGCUUUUGACAAAACCAAAAGAAAAAGGAAGGCAAAACAUUUGUGCCAGAAAAUAUGGGUUUCCCACAUAGUGGGACCCAUACCCAACAAAUCUCCCCCUCCAACUAUGUGGGGAAUGCCUCCAUACCGGAGGUCAAACAACAUGCUUCAAAUUUUCCUCUUGGUAAGGCCUUCGUCAACAUAUCAGCACCAUUAUCAUUAGUGUGUAUCUUCUCAAGCUCUAACAGCUUAGCUUCAAGAACAUCUCGUAUCCAAUGGUACCUCACAUCAAUAUGCUUAGAUCUAGCAUGAAAAGUUGAGUUCUUACCAAGAUGAAUAGCACUCUGGCUAUCACAGUACAGGACAUACUUCUCCUGAGUAAAACCAAGCUCAUGCACAAACUUCUUCAUCCAAAGCAUCUCCUUACACGCUUCGGUUGCUGCAAUGAACUCUGAUUCGGUGGUGGACAAUGCAACACACUUUUGCAGUCUCGAUUGCCAUGCCACAGCUCCCCCUGCAUAAGUGAUUAAGUAACCUGAAGUAGAUCUCCUCGAGUCAAUGUCUCCGGCCAUGUCUGAAUCUGUAUACCCAACAAGAACAGGUUUCUCAUUGCCGAAACAAAGUUUCAUGUUGGAAGUGCCACGAAGAUAUCUCAUAAUCCACUUCACUGCAUUCCAAUGCUCUCUGCCUGGAUUAGAAAGAAACCGACUAACUGUACCAACGGCAUAAGCCAAGUCUGGUCUCGUGCAAACCAUUGCGUACAUCAAACUACCCACGGCUGAAGAGUAAGGAAUUUUCUGCAUCUCUUCCUUCUCCUUUUCUGUGGAAGGUCUAUGCUUAACACUCAAUCUAAAGUGCAUAGCAAAGGGAGUAUUCACCGCUUUAGCUUUGUCCAUACUAAACCUUUGAAGUACUUUCUCAAUGUACCUCUCUUGUGAUAACCAUAAUUUCUUGGCCUUUCUAUCACGUGUCAGUCUUAUGCCAAGAAUUUGCUUUGCUGGCCCCAAAUCCUUCAUUGCAAAGGAUUUACUCAACUCUUGUUUCAACUUCUCAAUUCUAGAAGCAUUCUGACCAACAAUAAGCAUAUCAUCAACAUAGAGCAAAAGAAUAAUAAAAUCAUCACCAGAGAAUCUCUUAACAAACACACAAUGAUCAGAAGUAGUCUUCUUGUAGCCUUGCUCCCCCAUAACAGACUCAAACUUCUUGUACCAUUGCCUUGGAGCUUGCUUCAAACCAUACAAGCUCUUCUUCAAUCUGCACACAUAGUCCUCUUUCCCUUGUGCAACAAAACCCUCUGGCUGCUCCAUGUAAAGCUCUUCUUCCAAGUCACCAUGAAGAAAAGCAGUUUUCACAUCCAUUUGUUCAACCUCUAGGUCAUAACAAGCUGCCAAACUCAGUAUAGUUCUGAUAGAGGACAUCUUCACAACCGGAGAAAAUAUUUCUUCAAAAUCAACCCCCUUUUUCUGAGUAUAACCCUUGACGACCAAUCUAGCUUUGUAUCGUGGAGAUGAAGACUUCUCUUCUUGCUUCAACCUGUAAACCCACCGAUUCUUCAAAGCUCUUUUGCCCUUAGGCAGUUUCACCAAUUCAAAAGUAUGGUUCUCAUGCAAUGAUUGAAGUUCGCCAUUCAUCGCUUCAACCCACUGAUCUUUGCAUUCACUCUCCAUAGCCUCUUCAUAACAUUCAGGUUCUCCCCCGUCAGUCAAAAGAACAUAUUCAUCAGGAGAAUACCUGACAGAAGAUCGUCGAUCUCUGGAAGACCUUCGAAGUGGAACUGCUGGUGGAGCUAUAGGUGCUUGUUGUUGAUCAUUCACAACAUCAUCCAUGGGAGUAUCAAAGUCACCUAUAGUCUGAUGGUCACCACUAACAUCACCAUGCACAUCAUCCUGGAUAGGAUCUGGUGAAGAGUCUAAGGGAACCGGAUUCACAUCGAUCAAGUCACCACUACCUUGUGAAUCCACUUUCUCCGUCUUAUCAAUGUCAUCAAUGGUCUGAUCCUCAAUGAAGACAACAUCUCUGCUUCUCACGAGUUUCUUCUGAACUGGAUCAUAGAGUCUAUAACCAAACUCACCAUCUAGACCAUAACCAAUAAAAAUGCAUUGUCGAGCCUUGGCAUCCAACUUGGAUCUUUCAUCCUUUGGAACAUGAACAAAUGCUUUACAACCGAACACACGUAGGUGAUCAUAUGACACGUCUUUACCAAACCAAACUCUAUCUGGCACAUCACCUUUCAAAGGAACACUAGGAGACAGAUUUAUCACAUGUGUCACUGUAUUCAAAGCUUCAGCCCAAAACGAUCUUGGUAACUUUGCAUCUGACAACAAACAUCUGACUCUCUCAAUCAAUGUUCGGUUCAUUCUUUCAGCUAACCCAUUUAACUGUGGAGUCUUUGGUGGUGUUCUCUGAUGUCUGAUUCCCUGUCGCAGACAAUACUCAUGAAACGACCCUGUGUACUCGCCACCAUUAUCAGUACGAAUGCACUUCAACUUCUUCCCAGUUUCCCUUUCAACUGAUGCUUGAAACUGUUUAAACACCUCAAAGACUUGAUUUUUAGACUUUAAAGUGUAAACCCAUAGCUUUCUUGAACAAUCAUCAAUGAAAGUCACAAAGUAAAGUGCACCACCAUGUGAUCUUACUUUUAUCGGACCACAAACAUCUGAAUGGACCAACUCUAGCAACUCUGAUUUCCUAUGAGGAGGAUGGCUUCUAAAUGAAACUCUUUUCUGCUUUCCUGCUAGACAAUGAGCACAAUUCUUCAGUGUAGCAUUCUUUAAACCCGAAAGUUGAUUCUUCUUCGCUAAACAGCUAAGCCCCUUCUCACUCAUGUGACUGAGUCGUUUAUGCCACAACUCAGUUGAGUUGUCAUUCAGUGUCACAUUCACCGUCUCUCGAGAAGUCAAAGCUUGCAUCAAGUACAAAUUUGAGCUCUUCUUUCCUCGAGCCACAACCAAGGAGCCUUUAGUCAGCUUCCACUGCCCUUCACUGAAGGUGUUACAGAAUCCCUCAUCAUCAAGUUUUCCUGCAGAAAUCAAAUUCAAACGGACAUCCGGUGCAUGUCUGACAUCCUUGAGAGUUAACUUUGUUCCAUUGUUACUUACCAAGCUAACAUCUCCCAUACCAAUAACCGAAACCAAACCAUCAUUACCCAUCUUCAAUACCCCAAAAUCACCAGGAGUAUAAGAUGUGAAGAAUUCCUUCCUCGACGUGACAUGAAGUGAUGCACCAGUAUCAAUCACCCAACUAGUCUCGUCGCAUGCUAGGUUGACCAAAUUCUGAUCACAAAUAACUAACAAAUCUUCACGAGUAACAGUAGUAACACGCUCGGAUUUUUCAUCGUCAUUCCGGUCGUGUUUAUCACCACCACUUUUGUUCUCUUUCUUCCACUUGAAGCAAUAUUUCUUGAUAUGGCCUUUCUUACCACAAUGAUGACACUCAAGAUUCUUGUAUCUCGAUCUUGACUUGCUUCGGCUUUUAUCUCUACCCUUUCCAUCUUUGUCUCUGUUUCUCCCCCUGUUCUCGAUAACCAACACCUCGGACUGUGAUGUAGAACCCUGAGAUCUUCUUCUAACCUCUUCAUUCAACACACCACUCUUAGCCAAAUCCAAAGUAAUAAUACCCUGUGGGGCAGAAUUAAUGAGUGAGACUCGAAAGGUCUCCCAAGAGUCUGGUAGAGUAGCAAGCAACCAAAGUCCUAAAAUCUCGUCAUCAAAUUUGACACCCAUACCAAGCAACUGAUUCAUCAUACUCUGAAAUUCACUAACAUGGUCAGCUAUAGACAUUCCUUCUUUAUAUUUCAGCGCCAUCAUUUUCUUCAGCAAAAAUAACUUGUUAUUGCCCGACCUCGAAGCAUACAAGCUUUCAAGCUUCUCCCACAAUGUUCGAGCAUGUGUCUCCUGAUCAAUGUGAUUGUAAACAUUUUCUUCAACAAAUUGCCGAAUAAAGCCACACACUUGUUGAUGCUCAAAUUCCCAUUCUUCAUCACUUUUCGAAUCGGGUUUUUGAGUAGUAAAGACCGGAAGAUGCAAAGCCUUCACAAACAACAAGUCCUUCAUUUUAUUCCGCCAAAGUUGAUAAUUUGUGCCAUUCAACAUAAUCAUCUUGCUCGUAUUAAUUUCCAUAAUUAUCUGACACAAUAACCAAGCUCUGAUACCAGUUUGUUGGGAAGAAACCGAACAACCGAAACAAAGCGAAAGCACAACCGGUGUUCUUUCUCUCCUUAUAACUCAAAGUCAAGAACACCUUAUCACCUAGCUACUGUCCAAAAAUCAGCUCAAUCGAACCACGGAUGGACCUUCGAUCGAAGAGUUGAUCACUGCUGCACCAAGCUUGAAAAUCUGAUUUUUUCUAUUCUCUUUCUCUCUAUUUUUUCUUUAGCUCUCUGCAGAAAAAUUUCUGCCCAACACCCGUUAAUAAGCCAAAAAAUUGGCUUUUGACAAAACCAAAAGAAAAAGGAAGGCAAAACAUUUGUGCCAGAAAAUAUGGGUUUCCCACAUAGUGGGACCCAUACCCAACAACCUCGAGAUUGACAAACAAGGUGGCGCAUGUAUUAGCAGUGGAUGGGUUAAAAACAAUAGGGGGUGCUUAUCUGCCAAACGAAUUUCCUCGGUCAGCUGCGAUGGAGGCGGAAGAAGAUUGCCGAUGGAUAUUGCCGAGAGAAUAAGUGGUGGGAUAAAGACUGCAUGGUUUGACAGAGUAAAUGAAUCUGGCAAAUUUGACAAGGGGUUUUCAACGUUAAAAGGGUCUAAUGAGCGAAACUCCGACCAAAACAGUCCUUUAACAAAAUAGAGUGGAUGGGUAGAGGGGGUACCUCAGAAUAAAGUCGAUUGAAGAAGACAUCGGCGUUUUAAGAAGUUUUAGACUAUUAGGAGAGGUGCCUCUGAUUCUGUCACAAGUUUUUGACAAAACAAUCGACCAGUCAGGAGAACAGGAACUGCUGGGAUUUGAAUGGAUUUGAAAAGAGCUUCGAUCGUUGAAAUGGCUGGCUUUUAAGUUGGUGUGCCGUUUGGGGUUUUCCUUUUGUUUUUGGAAACUAUUUAGGUUUCUUUAGGUCUGCGUUUUAG